UCGGUUCCGAGGCUAACGGCGAUGAGUGGGAGGCGCCAUGGGCUCCGCCGUCUUGUCUCACCAGCUUUCUGCUGGGGUCGGGUCGGGGGGAGCUCCCCACCCUCCGCCCCCACAACCUCCUCGCUUGCAUGCGGACGAGGAGGAUAAAGAGGGGCGUCCGCGUUUUCCUCGGUCGAGCUCCUGCCUACACCUGUGGACCGGACUGGACUGACCUGACCCUCUGUUUUCUUCCCUCCAUUGGAGGUCCCUGCCGCCACGUUGGGCUCCGCCUCCCGGUGGUGUGACCUUCUGCGCACACGUCUGCUGGGACAGCCCGUCGCCGGAUGGUGUGGACUGAGCGAAGGGUCGGGCCGAGAAGAUAAGCUCCCUGCUGCGACGAGCACGAAGGAAGAAGAGGGGGGGGGGGACUACUGCUACCACAGCUACUCCAGGUGCCACCCAC
rnacentral:lncRNA from 1 species